rnacentral:rRNA from 1 species
AAUCUCAAGAAGUGUUUUCCGCUUCGGACCAAGCCUAAGUCCCUUGGAAAAGGGCAUCAUAGAGGGUGAUAAUCCCGUACAUGGCUUGGAGCGCCCGAAGCUUUGUGAUACGCUUUCUAAGAGUCGAGUUGUUUGGGAAUGCAGCUCAAAAUGGGUGGUAAAUGCCAUCUAAGGCUAAAUAUUGGGGAGAGACCGAUAGCGAACAAGUACAGUGAUGGAAAGAUGAAAAGAACUUUGAAAAGAGAGUUAAACAGUACGUGAAAUUGCCAAAAGGGAAGGGUAGGAGGUCAGAGAUGCGGCCUGGGAUUCAGCCUUGCUUUUGCUUGGUGUUUUUCCCAGAUUGCAGGCCAACGUCGGUUUUGGGCACUGGAGAAGGGUAGGAGGAACGUGGCACCUCUCGGGGUGUGUUAUAGCCUCCUACUGGAUACAGCGACCGAGACCGAGGACAGCAGCGUACUCGCAAGAGCGGGCCUUCGGGCACCUUUACGCUUAGGGCGUUGGCAUAAUGGCCCUCUACCACCCGUC